rnacentral:lncRNA from 1 species
GUCCUCACCCUCCCCUGGUUUCUGACAUCUUCCUCCGUGGUCUAGGGCAGACUUUGAUCUUCAACUCAGGAAGCACCAAGAGUUCAUGCACAGAACGGUGCAGGCUGUUUCCCCAGCUAGGGGCGGGAUACCCACUGUGUGGUCUCAAGGCCAGCCACCUGCCACAGCCUGGAGACCAGGAAGCUUGGGGGUCUUGGAGGCUGCCUGCUGGACGCAGGGCAGAUUGAGAGUCUCAGCCGGACCACAGCUCCUGGCCUGGCAGCCGUCCAUCCGUCAGCCCACCCCACCGUCCUUCACCAUUCAAGCAAGUGGGGGAGCUGAGGAGCCCCUGGGGCUGGGGGUGGGAAGGAGAAGGAGCCCUGGGGGAGGGGGGCUUGUCAGGGGAAGGAAGGAGAGGGGAGUGGAGGGGAGGGGAGGAAGGGAGGGGAGAGGAGCAGAUGCGACCCGGCCCUGUCACAGGGAGGCUAGUGCCCCUCUGCAUAGCUCCUGCCCUUCUUCCAGCUGCCCUCUGACCCCCCUGGCCUCUGAGCACCAAGAGCCCCCGGCUCCCCGCCUCCAGGCUGCCGGGUUCUGGCCAACCCCCGCCGGUGGGAGCCGAGCCGAUGUGUGUUCUCCCUGCUGACUCUGCGAGCCCGGGGGUGGCCCGGCCCCAUCCAUCCCCUCCCUUCCCCCUGCUCCCCGCCCCUCUGCUCCUUGCCCCCUUAUCCCCUUCCUUCUCCCUCCUCCGUUCCUGUCUUCCCCAUGUCCACCACCAGCUCCCGGUCCCCACUCCAGCUGCCCAGGCCACAGUGUGAUUCGCUGUCCUGUCCUCUGAGGCUAUUUUCCCAACAGCGUUGGUAACCCCUUUCCACCAGGGAGCGGCUGACAGUAGACAAGUGGAAAAUGGAGAGAAUGGGUGACCCCCCACCUGUGAUUCCCCCGCCUGUAACCCCCAGCUGUGACCCCCAGCUGUGACCCCCACCUGUGACCCCCCACUUGUGAACCCCCCACCUGUGACCCCCACCUGUGACCCCAUCUGUGAUCCCCCACCUGUGACCCCUGACCUGUGACCCCACUUGUGACCCCCACCUGUAACCCCUCCACCAGUGACCCGCCACCUGUUACCCCCAUCUGUGACCCCCACUUGUAACCCCUACCUGUGACCUCCACAAGUGACCCACCACCUGUAACCCUGGCCUGUGA